rnacentral:lncRNA from 1 species
AACAGAACGUACGUAAAGCAUAACUUUUAAACGGUUUGUUGUUAAUUAUUUAAUUUUGUUCAAAAUGUUCAAAUUAAAUAAUUAACUUAGCAGGUAAGAAAUUAAAUCCUAUCAUAGUUAACUACUUGUUAGUUAUUCAAAUAUAUUUGUGUAUAUUUUAAACUAGUUAACUUUCCAGAAGUCGAAUACAUAGAUUCAAUGGCAUGACAGAACUAGAAAAUAUCUAUUAUUUUAUAGUUAAUACAAGUGAUUUCAUCAAUAACGGGUAAAAAAAAUAAUAAUAAAAUAAUGGUAACUAAUGAUUAUUUAUUUUGUAGUUUCGUCUAUGAUAUAAGUUGAUGACUCAUGGUUUUUAGACUGUUGAUAUGUAUAGGUAAUAAUUUCAUUCAAACUAUGCCAUGUUAAUAGAAUUAUCUUUAGAAUGUUUAGUUAUGCAUUAGUGUCACAUCCGUUACAUAUUUGUUUUUAUUUUAUUUUAACGCCAACAAGAGUACAGGCACAUCAUCAAUACAAUUAAAAUUUUAAAUCAUAACUAAAUUAUUUAUAUAAGUUCUUUUAAAGUAUAAAUAGUAAUAUUUAUAAAUCUAUGUAUAUAAUAAAAACUUGCUGUAGUUUAUACUCAAAAAUAUAAAAAUAAAAUAAAUAGCUUUAUAAAUAAUAGGUAUGAGAAAAAAAAAAAAAUUGAAUACCGAUGAAGAAAAACUUGACCUAGAAUAGCAUAAUAGGUAGGUAUCUAAUUUUGUUUAUUUACGAAUAGUUUCUAUUUAAAAAAAUUAUCAUUAGUUCCUAGUAUAACUCAGGAACUAUUAACUAAUGAUGAUCUUAGAAAUUUAAACCAAUAGUAAAUAAAUACAAUUUAUUAUAAUAUUCCAGACUUAGUUUUUGUUGGUUACCAAUAAUGUGUGCUUUUUUCUUUCUGUUAACAAGUUUUCCACAAAAAACUAUCCUUUAUUAUUACGCUAUUGUGUAAGGUUCUCAACGGCGGGGAAAUUCAUCCCUAAUGAGGAAUUUAGGGGGUAUAUAGGAGAAUUUAGGGGGUAUAGAGAAGAAUUUAGGGGAUAUAUAGGAGUAUUUAGGGGUAAUAUAGCAAUGAUGCAAUUAUAAGAAUAAAAUAAAAAUAAAAAGAGGGGAAUUCUUUUGUAGCAUUUUUAUCUAAUAAAAUAUGGUAUUGCUAGUGAGUCACUAAAAGUCACUUUUUCUUAGAAAAAUCCAUAUUUUAUCACGUUUUCUCUUUUAUUUACUUUAGCUUAUUAAUUAUUCUACCUAAAUAAACCUUUGUCGUAUCUGUUUUACAUAACUAGUUAUCAAGCAGUAGAUAAGUUGUGAAGUACCAUCAUUAAAAUGUAAAACAAUUUGUUUAAAAUUUCACAAAAUUGAAGAAAAUUUGAAAAACUAGAGCCAAUUCCCCUAAAAAAAUGUUUGUUAAUAAUUUCUAUUAUUUAAAUUUAUUUUUGUCACCUUUUUCACAAUUUAAAUAAUAAUCAUCAGUAUUGAAAAAUGAUAAGAACUGGCAAUUGUGUGUAUAUAUUUGUUGACUUUUGAGUUACCUUGACAACAAGAGAAGAAAUAAGAUAAUAGUAUUCUGCUUAGAAUUAGUUUUUAUUCAAAAUAAUUUAUUAUUAUGUACAGAUAUAAAUUAAAUUACUCUAUAUAUCCUCCCUUACAAUAUCUCUUCUAAAACUGGCACAUUCAUACCAGUAUAAGCCUUUUUCUUGCUUGAAUUUAUUAUACGAUUAUAAUAUGUACCUUUUUUUUUUUAGAUUAUAACUGAAUGCAAAUCAUUCAAUAUAUGUCCAACAAUUAUCUGAUGGCUCUUACUGGAAAAGUAAAAAAUACAAUAAAAAAUGGUAAAUUGUAAACUGCUAUAUUACGUUUCAUGUAUUAUGUAUAGUAAUUUCUUAAUGAAAAUUGUAACAUGUUUGUGUAUCUUUAUCAAUAUUAUUUCUGGAAAUACUUUGUUUAUAUUUAUUUUAUUUUCAUGACAUAGUAUUAUUAUUAAGUUUAAUAUUUAUUCUCAAAUAUACUAUUCUAUUUUAUAACAACUAUUAACAAAUAUAUAAAUAAAUAAAUAAAUAAAUAAAUGAAUAUGUUGCCUAGAGUAUUAAAAAGCUCCAGGUGACAUUCAUUAAUUUAUUUAUUUAUGUAUUCAUUUACGAUUAUUAACCAUUUAAUAAUUUUAGUUUUACUUUAUCAUUGUAUUAACUAUUAACACAAUCUAUAUAGGUAAACUGUAUACAAUUUUGUAAGUACUUUAAAUGUUUAAAUUGAUUUAUUGUUUGUUUAGGUGGGUAGGUACUAUAAGUUCUAUUUCUAUACAUAAUUAUUGAUAUGGCACUCCAAUUUUAAACUAAAUUAAUAAUUUCUUCAAAUGCCCAUUCACUUAAGUUAUCUAUUCAACCUAAUUCCAAAUUAAUUAUGAUAUAACUAACAGAAAUGUUAUAUACCUGGUGCCUAGUUCCAGUUUUCCAAAUUUUGUAAAAUUUGAAAAUUAUUUGUUAUAUUUUAUUGACUACCUUAAAUAUUAGACUUUUUUUAUAUUCUAAUACCUGAUACCCAUUAAGGAGGAAAGGAUAUGACCCUUAAAAAAAAAAAAAAAUCACUCCAUGAUGGAGACAAUUCUUUGUCAACUUAAUAUUUUCCUAUCAUUUUGGUUUUAAUUGAAAUACAACAUUCUACUGACUAAAUUGAACUCUGAUUUGUUAGGUUAGGUUAAGUUAGGUUAGGUUAGGUUAGGUUUGUUAUUUAAUUUCAAAUGAUUUUAUAAAAAGGUUGGUAAAAAAAAAAAACAAUUUUUACCAAUUUAAAAAAAAAAUUAUUCAUUUCAAUACUAAUAAUUACUAACAUUAUAUUGUACAAUAUGAUUCUAAAUUUAUAUUAUAGCCAUUUUAUCAUGUAAAUAUUUAAUAGAGAAAAAUGUAUAAUGCAAAAUUUGUUUGAUUUAUUAACAUCUAAAAUAAUUUGUAAUGUAUAUUUUUCUUUAAUUUAAAUAUUUUUGUGAUAAAAUGACUGUAUUAUAAAUUUUGAUUUACUCUGUAUAAGGCUGGUCAAGUUAAGAAUUAUUUUUUAUCUAAAAAUAAUUUAGCAAGUAAAUAUUACCUUAGUUAUAAUAUUAAAUUUCACAUUUUUGUUGUCAAUUAAAAUAUCUUAAGAAAGGGUAAUUAGAUCAAGGGUCUCCAAUUAUUAUUUUUUACAUCAAACCAAUAAAUUUCGUCAUCAUAGGUCAAAAUUAGAAAACCAAAAGAAAAAAAAAUGUCAAAGCAUUUUAUUUAAAAAAAUUUAAACUAACAUAUUGCUUGGCAAACUGGUUUGAUAAGUUAUAAGUUGGAUUGGACUCACUUAUAUGACUAUUGGAUUCCAUGUCACAUUAUCUUGUUGCGUCAAUCGCUUUAUGCAUUUCUAAAACUAAAACAUUUUAUUUGAAAUUUUACUAAAAUGGUGAUUUAUCAAAUAAGAAAUGAAGUAAACAUUUUUAAUAUUUUUUUUUUUGACCAAAAUUUAACUUGACUAAAAAUAUAUAAAAUUAACUCGUAGUUAACACAUUUAGUACCUACACAAUAAAAAUAACUUAUUAAGAUAAAAGUUAAUCCUGUAAAAAAGUAACUUAUUAUACAUUUUUAAUUUAUCUUAACUUUUAAUGUGUUAAUGCCCAGCCUUGUAUGUAUGUACAAACAAAUAUAUUCUAUUCUUAUUCAAACAUUGUUCAGUGAUAUUUUUAAGUUUCUUGUUAAUCAUCAUUUAAUUUUUGUUGUUGAAAUAUUUAUUAUAUUAUUUAGACAUAGAAAGAUUUAAUAAAUUAAUUUUACAAACAUACGAUAAUAGUAUAAUGCCAGUCCCUAGAUAACUUUCACUGAAAUGUUAACCAAAAAUAAUCAUUAUUUAAUAUUUAAAUAUUCUUUGUUUUGUAGGAAUACAGUUUAUGGCCAUCCAAUGACAACACAGAUAACAUGUUAGCCAGUGUAUUUCUAUGUGAGUUUGAAUUUGGUAACUAUUAUCUUAGAACAUAGAAUACAUUGUUGUAAAUUGCUAUAGUAAUGUUACAGUUGAAUCGUGGUACAAAAAUGGUUAAAUCGACAUGCUACUCUGUGAUCACUGAUUGAAAUGUAACAUAUAUGAGUAAUCUUAUAGAGAAUUAAUAUUUAACAUCUUAAAAUGAAUUAUUCACAACAUUCUUAUAUUGAUCAAAAUAAACCUAAAAAAAAAAAAAAAAAAGAAGAGUCAAAAGUCAGUAGAACAAUAUUUCUGUGUAAUAUCUUCAUGUUAAAGUCAUCUAAAUACUAGAAAAUAGGACAAUAAAAUAAAAACCACUUAAACACGAUUUAGUGUCUAAUUAUCAGUCUUAUAAGUCCUAAAUAGUUUAAGUUAAAAUUCUCAGUCUUUUUAAUGAUCAGGUGAGGUAAAAAUAUUUUACCAGAAAAUAUCUAGCUACUAGCAUAGAAAAUUGUUAUAUGAAAAUUUAAAUUGUCAGUUACCGAAAUAAAAUAAUAUGUAAUGGUUGGAUUCAAAAACUGACAAUUUUAAAUCUAACUGUUGUAGGAAAAAUAAUUUGUCUAUUAUUAAUUGUAUCAGUAUCAUGUUUACUGAUUAUCGUAUAAUGGCAAAAACUGGCAGCUAUGUUUGCGCAGAAUCUGCUUUGAACUAGAAAAUUGCUAUAAUACAUGCAUACAUAUAAAUAUACUUACUUAAAUUUUAGUGUUUCUGGCACAAUACUAUAAACUAUAUUAGUUAACAAUUUGACAAAACAAUUGAAUCUGAAUGUUUUAAAAUAUAAUUGUAGAUUUUUUUUAAGUAACUACAUGUCCAAAAAUAUGAACAGCUCAAAUUACAAUAAAGAAUAAAUUCAACCUUGAUCACAGUAGGUCAAUAGUUGACCAGUUGGAAAAUCAUUAAUAUAUUUUUAUGUAUUUGACAGUAAAUUAUUACCUACAUUUUAGUAUUUCAAAAUUAUUUUUAUAAUAAUAUUUGUAUUUAUAUAAUUGAUUAAACCAUUAUAUAUUAAUUUAUAAAAUAUUUUGUAAUUGUGAUCAUAACAAAUUUAAAACUGUUUAAUAGAUUUUAUUUAUUAAAAGGAAUAUUUUAAAGGUAGGUAUGAUUUGUUUUUCAAUAAUAUUUCUUUAAAAAUCAAUAUUAUAAUUUGUCACGUAUUUAUCUCCUCUAUUCAGUUUACAUUUAUACUAUAUAGGUACCAUUAAAUAUUAAAAUGAAGGUAUUAUAGAGUUUUAAAUACUAUUGAAUUUAUUUUAGUGUGGUACAAUUCACCAUAAAUUAUUAUUAUGAUGUAUCAUAUGAAAUGAAAGGGUUAUGUUUACAGACAUGUAAUUGGAAAUUAGGGGACUUAAGGGCAAUCAAGUGAAACAUACUGCUGAAAAAAUAGUUAUUGUUAAAUUAUUGUGAAGAUACUUUUAAGGAUAUUUGGAUGACAAAUUUCAAUAAUUCAAAUGGAUAAUUUAUUAAAUCUUCAAUAUUUGUCACAGACACUACACGUCAAAUAUUAUUUAGUAUUAUAUACAUUAUAUAUGCUUAUUUUGGAACUUGGAUAAUAUGUAAUUUAAUUCAACUAUUUGAUAAAUAUCUUUAUUCAAAUUGUUAAUAUUAUAUUUAAAUUUAAUAUAGUAAAACUAUUUACAAUAUGGUUGAAACUUUUUUAUAAUAUUGCAAACAUGUUAUUGCCAUUUUUGAAAAAAAACAUUUAGAGAAUCAUCAUAGCUGUGUUGCGCUAGAGUCUGUCUGGA